AGGUGGGCGGCGGGGCGAGCGGAGAGGCCCGCAGGGCUCGCGGGAGUCCAGGGGCAGACGGGAUGGGUCUCCGUGCAGAAGCCCCCGACACGCCCGCCACAGCUUAGAAGCAAAAUUAACAGACUCAUCAGAUUCUGAGCUUCUGCGGGAUAUUUUGCAGAAGACUGUGAAGCAUCCUGUGUGUGUGACGCACCCGCCGUCAGUCAAGUAUGCCCGGUGCUUUCUCUCAGAACUCAUCAAAAAGCACGAGGCUGUCCACACGGAGCCUUUGGACGAGCUGUAUGAGGUGCUGGUGGAGACCCUGAUGGCCAAGGAGUCCACUCAGGGCCACUGGAGCUAUUUGCUGACGUGCUGUAUUGCCCAGAAGCCAUCGUGUUGCUGGUCGGGGUCCUGCUGAGGCUGGCUGCCUGCCGGGAGCACCAGCGGGCUCCUGAGGUCUAUGUGGCCUUUACUGUCCGCAACCCAGAGACAUGCCAGCUGUUCACCACCGAGCUAGGCCAGGCCAGGAUCAGAUGGGAAGUGGAACCUCGUCAUGACCAGAAACUGUUUCCCUAUGAAGAGCACUUGGAGAUGGCAAUGCUGAACCUCACACUGUAGGACUCACACACGACUCCAAUGGGAUUGUGAGAAUCAAGUCACUCUCAAGGGAAGAGGUUUCAUAUGGGAAAGCUGAUAAAACUUUCACUGGACUGGAAUGUUUGGAGAAUGUUAAUUUCCAAAUCAGGAACUACAAACUGCCCUCUAAUAAGACAUCGGCUAUCUAAGCGUGUGGGUGCUCCCUUUCUGCCAGCAGUUCUGGUUCUUAAGGAAAUCGCCAUCACUCAGACAUGAAAACUCUGGCUCCAAAAAUAGCAUUUUCUUUGUGCAAAUAAAAACGUGUGUAUCAAGUAUGUGGACACACUCGGUUCCUCACAAAGCCAAGCCUGCUGCAGCUGCCACAUCCCUGGACACACUUGGUUCCUCACAAAGCCAAGACUGCUGCAGCUGCCACAUCCGCGGACACACUCAGUUCUUCACAAAGCCAAGCCCGCUGCAGCUGCCACAUCCCUGGGCUUACGAUGCAGCAGGUGCUUUUUUCAAGACAGGAAUCAAAAUGUUAGGAACACGGCAGAAAGGUGACACCUGGAGACCAAACGCAGGAUAAGGAGUACUGCAGAGGUCACAGGGAAGUCACAGAACAGUAAUACGCUAGCAGGGGCAUGGGGCAUGAAGAACAGAAGAAGAGAGGAAGUGUUUCCGAGCCUCCGGAAAAGAAAUCAGAGCCAAGCACAGCUUCCCGGGUCACAGAACCAAUUCAUUCACCAGGCGGCACCACUGCCGUCAUUUCAGCUUCUGGCCACUGGGAGGCGCUGCUCAAAAGGGUUUGCCCUGAGACUCCGAGAAGAAGCUGCGGGAAGGACAGCAGGGGUCCCGGGGUUUUAGCCUCUGGCCCAGGAGUUGUAUGUCCAUAACCAAAGGGAGCACAGUCUGCACCCAGCUCUCAUCCCAUCGGAGCUGCUGCGACUCCCGCAGGUUCUUCCAAAACUGGUUUAGCUUGCCUGCAGGAUCAGGAAAGUUUGAGAAAAGCAUCUGCAAAAAAAUAAAGAGCAGAGCUUACCUCAUUGCCUGUCCCCACCCCAUCCCAGGUCACCACCUGGCUGACCCCAGGUCCCCGACCCAACAACAACCCCUCCCAAGUUCCUAACUCUCUCACUUGGACUCGAGACUCUUCACGCCCCAGCAGCGCUCCGCCUCCAACUUGACAUCAUGCUUUCUGGAAACUUCCCCGUAUGUCCCACUUUCCCACACUUGGUGCCCUGGAGCACCUCCCGGCCUCUAACGUGCUGUAUGUUCCCCUGCGAGCACCCUCCUCUUGGCCUCUGGCCAAGUCCCACCCAUCUGUGGGUAACAAGGGGGUGUCGGUGUUCUUUUCAGCCUUGCUAAACUCUCUGAAUCAAGGAUCACAAACUACAGCCUGCAGGCCAAAUCCAGCCCACAGCCUGUGUUUGUAAAUAAAGUUUUAUUGGAACA
ensembl:lncRNA FAM86JP family with sequence similarity 86 member J, pseudogene